rnacentral:tRNA from 1 species
GUGGGUAUAACUCAGUUGGUUAGAGUGUCAGAUUGUGAUUCUGAAAGCACGGGUUCAAAUCCCGUUAUUCGCC